AUCAGGAAGAGGAAGAAAAUGAGCAUCUAAGAUUGUUUUGAAAUUGGGCAUGGGAACAUGGAGGAAGGCCUAAACUAGUGUGUCCCUGUCAAACUAGGGUCCAACAUUUGUUUUGGAAUUUUCCCAAUGCCUCCCAUGCCUAUUGUUCUUAGGUGUUCCUUCCUCUCCCUUAUGAUC
rfam:Triticum aestivum genome assembly, contig: Triticum_aestivum_CS42_TGACv1_scaffold_425893_5BS